rnacentral:rRNA from 1 species
GACGAACGCUGGCGGCGUGCUUAACACAUGCAAGUCGAACGGAAAGGCCCCUUUGGGGUUACUCGCGUGGCUGACGAGUGGGUAACACGUGCGUAAGCUGCCCUUGCCUUAGUGAUAAAUUCCGGCAACUGGGGCUAAUACCGGCUAGGAAUCCUUGCUGCAUGGUGGGGGUGGGAAAGCUUCUUCGGGUUUGGAUGGAUUCGCGACUUAUCAGCUUGUUUGUGGGGUGGUGGCUUACCAAGGCUUUGACUGGUAGGCGGCCUGAGAGGGCGACCGGCCACACUGGGGCUGAGAGACGGGCCAGACUCCUAUGGGAGGCAGAAGUGGGGAAUAUUGCACAAUGGGCGGAAGCCUGAGGCAGCAACGCCGCGUGCGGGAUGACGGGCUUCGGGGGGUAAACCGCUUUCAGCAGGGGCGAAGCGUGUGGUGACGGUACCUGCAGAAGAAGCACCGGCUAACUUCGUG